GAAAUAGAAGAGCAGUGAGAGGGAGAAAAUGGUUACCAAACAGCAAGAAGUGACCUAAGAAGGGUGGACAGUUGAUGGAAGUGAUGAGCAACGGUCUACAUGGGGAAGGAAACCGGUCAUUCCUUCCAAACUGCCAUGGCCCUCCCUAAAUGAUAUGGUGACCAUCUGGGGAACGUCUCCCUUCAACCUGAUGGCACACUCCUUAAAAGUAAGGACUUGCACUAUCCAUCUUUGAUCCCUCUAUGUCCACAAUGCUGAAUGUCGCAGGAGCCCAAUAAAUGUCCAUUAAUCAAAUCAAGGACCCAACAGUCAUUCGUUAAAAAAAAAAAAAAAAAAAAAAAAGUGACAAGUGACAUGCAGUGAAUUACAGACUGUCUUAACUACCUGUUAGGAUUUCAGCAGAACCUACAAAGCUUGCCCUUUUGCGAGUCUACAGACAGCAAUAUUUAUGACAGCAGACCUUCAAUUAAAAAUCAUUACUUAAGUUGCUUUAUUACAGCUACAAAUAAACUUUAUUUGAUGUAAUGUAAUAAAACAUUUUCAAAUUUAACAACA